rnacentral:rRNA from 1 species
UACAGAGGUGGCAAGCGUUGUUCGGAAUUACUGGGCGUAAAGGGCGCGUAGGCGGUCUUGUAAGUCUCGUGUGAAAUCCCUCGGCUUAACUGAGGAACUGCACGGGAUACUGCAUGACUUGAGGUCGGGAGAGGGAAGCGGAAUUCCGGGUGUAGCGGUGAAAUGCGUAGAUAUCUGGAGGAAUACCGGUGGCGAAGGCGGCAUCCUGGACCGACAUUGACGCUGAACGGCGAAAGCUAGGGGAGCAAACGGG